CGUAACAACAUAUACCUUAAACGAUAACUAUUUUUACUAUACGACACGGUAAAAUUUUCACAAAUUUUCGUAGAUCUUUUAAAAAAAAACUUUUUCUUUGUCCCUUAGUUGAAAGUACGCACUUCCCUUCCUAAUUUAAGGCCUUAAGUCCUAUUUCCCUCCUUUGGUAGAAUUACACGCGCCUCACUUAUAUCGCUGAGAGCAAAAAAUUUUUUCGUGCCUAUAGAAAUAGCCAGCUACUGCCAUCUAGUGAUCGUCUACCACUUUAUCGAUAAAAUUUUUCACUAUAACGUCAUAGAUCGUUGCUUGAUUUAUAUAUACGUCAGUAUUUCUGUGUCUUGGUGUUUGCGAUAUUUUAAUUAAACAGUGUACUUACAAUAAUAAGAUGACUGAUAAAGUUUCAUGGAAUGACUCUAUAGACGAGGAUGAGAUGAUAAAAGAUUUUGAUGCAGAGGCAAAGUUAAUUAUUGAAACGGCAAUUUUGUCAAAAAAAAUCAGCCAAUCGAUACCAAAUGGUCUACGAAGGCUACCCAACAUGGCUAACUGAACAUCGAAAUUCUCUAUCGGACUUAGAAGAAAGUAACUUGGUCGUGUAUAUCACAGAGUUAAGGAAAAAAUUAAAACCACCAACAUUGUGGAGCAUCUGGUCUAUGUUAAAGAAAACACUUAACAUUUAAGGCAAUAUUGAUAUAAGCAAAUUUCACAAUUUGAAGUGUUUAGUCAAAAACAACUCUAAAGGUUACAAACCUAAAAAAUCAUUAAUGUUCAAGUGGAACGACAUAAUGAAUUUUAUGAACAAUGCACCAGAUUUCGUGCAUUUAGUUGCAAAAAUUAUACUCGUAUUUGGCAUCUGUGGAGGACUAAGAUGUGAUGAAUUUACUGAAUUGGAGGUGCACGAUGUAGAAGAUCUUUACAUUCGAUUUCUUGGAUCCAUCAUCGAAACAAAAAAUGAUAAACCACGUCAAUUUAUCAUCGGAGAGCUUUUUUUACAGAAAAAUAAAAGAGUACAUUUCGUUAAGAGCGAGUGAAUCAUUUACAGACAGAUUUCCUUAUACGAUACCACAAUGGGAAGUGUCAGCGGGAAAAUAUUGGUAAAAAUAAAAUUGGUUAAACACCUUAGGUCAUUGCUUCGUAUUUAAAUUUACCAAACCCAAAGCUGUACACUGGACACUGUUUCCGCAGAACCAGAAAGACAUUUCUAUUGGACUCAGGUGCGAACAUCACCAUGAUAAAGUAACGAGAAGGAUGGAAGUUUACGAGUAUUGCACAAAGUUAUGUGGAAAAUCCUCUCAAGAAUAGACAGAAAAUUUUCGAUAGCAUAAUCCAUACAGCUAAACCUAGUGAUCAAUUAAAUCCUCAACCAUCAACCAGUGAAAAUGAUUCAAUUGCAAUAAUUAAUAAAAAUAUCAAUAAAAAGUCUUAGCGUGAAGAAGCUGGGUGUAAUAACUUUGAUCAUUUUGAUAUAAAUGAUCUGGAUUUAGCAAUGAUUGACGGAUUAUCUGAAUUAACAAGAUCUAAAUUACCGACACCAUUUAUUACAAAUACAAAGAGCAGAAAAAUACUUACUUGUAAUAACCAAUCACAAUUACCGACGCAUUUUAGUUUUAAAUCACCUGUUAAUAUAUUUCUGAGGAAUCAGAAAAUAUACCAUCGUCGAAAAAAUUCAAAUCUGACGCUAAAACUCAUGCAUACAAUGGAAACAUCCAUAAAUUACGUAACACAUUUUG